rnacentral:rRNA from 1 species
UUGUAAUGAGGACUUCCCUUCGGGGACACGAAGACAGGUGUUGCAUGGUUGUCGUCAGCUCGUGUCGUGAGAUGUUAGGUUAAGUCCUGCAACGAGCGCAACCCUCGUGUACAGUUGCCAAUAUUAAGUUAGGAACUCUGUACAGACCGCCGUAGUUAAUACGGAGGAAGGUGGGGAUGACGUCAAAUCAUCACGGCCCUUACGUUUUGGGCUUCACCCGUGCUACAAUGGCUAUUACAAAGAGUCGCAAUAUCGUAAGAUGGAGCUAAUCUCACAAAGAUAGUCUCAGUUCAGAUUGUGGGCUGCAACCCGCCCACAUGAAGUCGGAGUUGCUAGUAAUCCCGAAUCAGCAUGUCGGGGUGAAUGCGUUCCCGGGUCUUGUACACACCGCCCGUCACGCCAUGGGAGUUGGGAGUGCCCAAAGUCAGUGUCCUAACCGCAAGGAGGGAGCUGCCUAAGGUAAUACCAAUGACUGGGGUGAAGUCGUAACAAGGUAGCCGUAUCGGAAGGUGCGG